GCGCUCGUAGCUCAGCGGUAGAGCACUUCCUUGACGUGGAAGGGGUCUUCAGUUCGAUCCUGAACGGGCGCA
rnacentral:tRNA from 1 species